GUCUCCCUCUGCCCACCCACCUGCACCUGACAGCUGUGGGCUGUGCUCUCAGGGAGGCACCGUCAGAUGCUACCAGACUACAGAGGAGAGCACCCUCAAUCCUGACUGAAGGUUUGGGAAAAGGCUGCUCAGAAGAGGUGAUACUUGAUAUGGGCCCUGGAGGAGGAGAAGCAGUUUGAGAAGACAGCAGUGAGAGAUGGCAUCCGGGCAGGCGAGAAAUGCAAAGGGAAGAGAGGUCAUCCAGGACAAAAGUACAGAAUGAAAAGAAAAAGCAACUAAGCACGAAAUCUUGGAGAAUGUCCUCAUUGAAGGGUCCUGAGCACCAAGGGUACAGUCAGAAAUGAUGAAUCCAGAAAUGAUGCCCUCCAGAACUUCUGGUGAGGAAGGCACUCAGGAAAAUGCAGCACCCUAUGGAGGCCCAGAAAGGAGGGCAUUCAGGAAGAACACAGUCUGAUGGUGUCAAGUGCAGCGGAGGCUAAGAG
rnacentral:lncRNA from 10 species